UUGAGGCUUCGCCUUGCGUGGCUUCGGCACUAACGGUCGAACCAACACUUCUUUACCGGGAGCUCUAUCAUUGGUCGACGGAAUGGUAUCCCCGAGAGGGGAAGCACGAAGUCGAUCUGCGGGCACCCACCUGCUGAGGCAGGUUCACCGCGCUGGAGCACGCGAGGCGGGGUUCACU
rnacentral:other from 1 species